rnacentral:rRNA from 1 species
UACGUAGGGUGCGAGCGUUGUCCGGAAUUAUUGGGCGUAAAGGGUGCGUAGGCGGUUUUGGUAAGUCUGAUGUGAAAUCUACGUGGGCUCAACGAUCAUAGUCUGCAUCGGAACUGCCGGGCUUGAGUGUGGGAGAGGUGAGUGGAAUUCCUGGUGUAGCGGUGAAAUGCGUAGAUAUCAGGAGGAACACCUGUGGCGAAAGCGGCUCACUGGACCAUAACUGACGCUGAUGCACGAAAGCUAGGGGAGCAAACAGG